ensembl:lncRNA
GUACUAACCUAUACUUGUGUUUAAUUUAAAAUUCUGAGACCAAAAAUGAUUCAUAAUAUAGUAGAUGUUAAUACAAUUUCCAUAAAAAAGUAAUAUUCUUAUGUAAGUGCAAAAACCUUAUGAACCCAUCUAGACGACCCAAAUACUGAUACAUAAUUGUGCAUGUGCAGCGCUGCUACUGCUGCAGAUUUUAUAGCGCUAUAGGGACCUGACCUCUACUGUACAUCAUCAAGAGCUGUUAUGUGCUCACAUAAAACCGGUUAUGUAAACCGGUUGAUGCUGACCUAAUUGUGGCUGAAUGAUUAUCAGAACAAGCAAAUCAAAUUCUUCUUCUGCCUUGCAUUCAACACCAACAACAGGUUGAGCAACAGCCUAUCGACAUGCAUCAAACAAACCCCUAUAAUGUGUUUUUCUUCCUCCGUGCAAGAAUGUAAGGAAACGAUUACAUGGGCUGGUAUUUGUAAGUGUUCCCAUAUGGCUGAGGCGCACAGUUUACAUCAGACUGCGGACAAAUCUCCACUGCUCAAAGCAUACAGAUUGAUGGAGCAGACCCAUGAAUGAUUAACAGGGUACUGAUGGUGACAAAGGGCAGACAGCACAGCCUUAGAGUCCAAGCUCGUUCCUGACUAAUGAUUCUUAUCAAGCGGAAGUCACAUAAGCUUUUGACGAAGUGCCCUGGAAUUCAAAACAGGAAAAGCAAAGAGAAGGAAGGACGAUGUUCUCCGUCCCUGACUGACUACUCCAUCUAUGGCAAAUAAGAACAAGCAGAUAAGGCUCCACGGACAGAGACUCGGUGAUGAGAAGAAGGCAGACAAAACCACAGGCAUGAGUGAACACAAAUGACUUGUGAUGCAACAGAUAAACCUGCCUCCUGACUGACAGCCAACCCUCUGUCGAGGCAGUCUGACCUGAGCUCUGAGAAAGCAGGAGAAGGAAAAGAGCAAACAUCAAAGAAGAACGAAAGAGGAAGGAAGAAGGAAAAUAAUACAAAAAGAUGUGAGAAACAAAGAGAACUCUGGCAGUGUGCAACAAGCAUCUCUGCCUCUCAUUUCGAGGUCACUGUGAAUCGAGCCAGGCGGCCUGUGAUCCACGUGUUGGUGGGGAAGCUGUGAGAAAGAGCUUGGUCCGCAAACAGAAGGAAGGAGCCCUGAAGAAGCAAGAUCAGAUAAUCACAGUUGCUUAUAUAUAUUUCUUGAGACAAAAAUGCAGAUUUUAUUUAUCUGUAUCUGGACUUUAACAAAAUUAAAAGAAUAAUACUGAAUAAAAAUAUUCCAGCA